CAAGAAUUAACAUUGAUGGUGGCAAGUGUGCCUUCAGAAGGUGCCACCCAGCAGUCCCAGCCUGCUUUUGCAAGUCCGAUGGGGGAUGAUCUAUGUUAAGGUCGUGUAAGCAAGAAGGCAAGUGCUGCUGCAGGCAAUGUUGCGAUAAGCCUGCAACAGAUAUAGCCGGCCUUCUAAAAUCCAAGAAUGAGGAAUGCCUGAAACAAGGAACAACUCGGCAGUGUAUGUGAACGUGUUUACCUGUGUGUGUAUGAGUGUGCAUGUGAGG